rnacentral:rRNA from 1 species
UACGUAGGGUGCAGGCGUUAAUCGGAAUUACUGGGCGUAAAGCGUGCGCAGGCGGUCUGCUAAGAGAGGUGUGAAAUCCCCGGGCUUAACCUGGGAAUGGCAUUUGGGACUGCAAGGCUUGAGUUUGGGAGAGGGAUGCGGAAUUCCAGGUGUAGCGGUGAAAUGCGUAGAUAUCUGGAGGAACACCGGUGGCGAAGGCGGCAUCCUGGACCAACACUGACGCUGAGUGAGCGAAAGCCAGGGGAGCAAACGGG